rnacentral:rRNA from 1 species
GACGUAGGGGGCAAGCGUUGUUCGGAAUUAUUGGGCGUAAAGAGCUCGUAGGCGGUUUGUCGCGUCUGCCGUGAAAGUCCGGGGCUCAACUCCGGAUCUGCGGUGGGUACGGGCAGACUAGAGUGCAGUAGGGGAGACUGGAAUUCCUGGUGUAGCGGUGAAAUGUGCAGAUAUCAGGAGGAACACCGAUGGCGAAGGCAGGUCUCUGGGCUGUAACUGACGCUGAGGAGCGAAAGCAUGGGGAGCGAACAGG